rnacentral:rRNA from 1 species
AUGUGCGACUGCUACACACCACAAGGUGUUCCAAUCCCCACCAACAAGAGGCACAAUGCUGCCAAGAUCUUCAACACCUCGAAGGUUGCAGCUGAGGAGAGAUGGUAUGGAAUUGAGCAGGAGUACACUCUCCUCCAGAAGGAUGUGAACUGGCCCCUUGGCUGGCCCGUUGGUGGCUACCUUGGUCCUCAGGCAAGAAAACUCUCAGCAUGCUCUCCAGCUCUCCUGUUUUUGUUAUGCAGGUUGGAAGAAAAGAAGAAGAUCCAGAGAAGAUCUUAG